UUUGUUUUCUUCCUCUCUCCAGGGUGAGGAGCGGCUAGAAGUUGAAUUUCAGCUACAGAGACUGACAGACUGUGCUGAGCAGCUUGUCACCAAUGGCAUUCUGGUGGCCCGGGAGCUCUCUUGCUUGCAUGUUCGACUGGAGGAGUCAGGGGACCGGAAGGGUAAGUCUCCCACCUACCAAGAUAACCCCCAGCCCUCUGCCCUUGUCUUCCUCUUUCUUUUUUUUCUUUUUUCUUUUUAAUUUUUUAAUGUUUAUUUAUAUUUGAGAAAGAGACAGUGUGCCAGUGGGAGAGGGGCAGAGGGAGACAGAAACAGAAUCUGAAGCAGGCUCCAGGCUCAGAGCUGUUCUCACAGAGUCUGACUUGGGGCUUGAACUCAUGAACUGUGAGAUCAUGACUGGAGCCGGAGUCGGACGCUUAACCAACUGAGCCACCCAGGUGCCCCUUGUCUUCCUCUUUCUGUGGGGAUCUUAGAAGGGACCUUACAUUAGCUGCCCUAGACUUUCAUAGGCACUGGUAGAGAUUAGGGGCAAAUCCAUGCUGGGGCUCCCCAGGACCUGUGUCCCCUUAGUCCUUGGAGAGGCUGUGAUGGGGGCUCCAUCUCUGAGCCUUGGCCUGUGCCAGUCGUCCUCCUCGGGGUGGGGGGGAAGUACCCUUCAGGCCCCUUGUGCAAGACACUCUUGGGCCUUUGUGGGCCAGGAUCUUAUUCCCAGCCCCUCUGCUCUGGUUCCUAUUUCCAGAGUCCGGGGGAAGAGUUCAGCUCAUGGUUCCUGGGUCCUGUGAGGGUCCGCAGGAGGCCGCUGUGGGUGCUGGCUCCUUCUGCUUCCAUUGCCCGGCCUGCUGGGACCAGGAGCUGGAUAUUCAUCUGCAGGUAGUGUGCUGCUGA